AAAGGAGCAGGUUUAUGGUUGCGGUUCAUACACUUCAGACAUGGCUACCACCACCAGUAGAACCCUGCUGAAGGAGAUGCUGCACCUCUCUUCCACGGUUCCUUUCUCUUUUUCUCUUCGUCUUCGUGCUCUUCCAUCUCUAUCACUCUCUUCAUCUCACCUUAACUUGAACCUUCAGUUUCGGCGCUCUCGCCCUUCCACUCCCUUCACUCCAAUUCGAUGCGUUUCUUCUUCGGGUCCCGGCGAUGGCGGAAACAAGGUAUCUUCUCGUCUCUCUCAGGUUCACCAGCUUCUCCAAGAAGCUGAAGAACGAGCUCUCUCAGCUGACACUGGUCCCACUCCUAAAAUCACCUUAGAUCAUGUUACGGUGAGCUAUGCCAGAAGUGGUGGACCUGGGGGUCAAAAUGUGAAUAAAGUGAACACCAAGGUGGACAUGCGAUUCAAUGUUAAAAAUGCAUAUUGGCUAAGUGACAGGAUCAGGGAGAGAAUUAUGCAAAUGGAAAAAAACCGAAUUAAUAAGGAUGGGGAGCUUGUGAUUUCUUCCACAAGAACUAGAACACAGAAGGGUAACAUUGAGGAUGCUUUGGCAAAACUUCAGGAAAUCAUUGAUGCAGCAGCAUAUGUCCCACCACCUCCCUCUGAAGAGCAAAAGAAGAAAAUUGCGAAGAUGUAAGAGCACUUCACUUUUGUAUUUCCUCAGUCUUCAGGUUAAAUACGAAUUAUUCUAGGGCUGCAAUAGGAGAGCAGAAACGCCUCAAAAGCAAGAAGGUGCUUUCAGACAAGAAAGCGUUCAGAAGAAGCAAAAAUAGUUGGGACUAACACAUUCAUUUCCAGAUGGUGAACUUGUACAUUAUUUUUAUCAUUGACUACAGGUUACAGGCACCAUAAUUGGACUAUAAAAUAGAAAUAUUGGACCAGCAUAGCACAACACCUCUGGAGUUGUUACCUACUGAUACAAGGCCAAAAUUAUGAUGUACUAUCUAGGACUUGAUGAAUAUAGAAAUAUCAAUUUGAUUUUAUCCUUACAAUGUUUCCAAUUUUCCUCAA